AGCGUGUGGUUUAAUUCGAUGCUACACGAAGAACCUUACCAGGGUUUGACAUGCAAGUGGUAGGAACCGAAAGGCGACCGACCCUUCGGGGAGCUUGCACAGGUGCUGCAUGGCUGUCGUCAGCUCGUGUCGUGAGAUGUUCGGUUAAGUCCGCUAACGAGCGCAACCCUCGCUGUGUGUUAUAUGUGUCACACAGGACUGCUGGUAUUAAGCCGGAGGAAGUGGGACGACGUCAAGUCAGCAUGACCUUUAUAUCCAGGGCUACACACACGCUACAAUGGUCAGUACAAUGGGUUGCCAAGCCGCGAGGCGGAGCCAAUCCUAAAAAGCUGGCCUCAGUUCAGAUUGCAGUCUGAAACUCGACUGCAUGAAGUCGGAGUUGCUAGUAAACGCAGGUCAGCUAUACUGCGUUGAAUACGUUCCCGGGGCUU
rnacentral:rRNA from 1 species